AAUCUGCCUGUCAUAUUUCCGCGACAUUAACAAUGAAUUUGAUCACAAAAUAGAAAAAAUAGGGCAAAAAUGUCCCAUGGAAAAGAUUCAAAAUGAACAGGUAAAUUGAAGAUAAGACAGCAAUGCCGCUCUCAGCAAAUUUUCGACGUGAGAUGCUAGUGGCUUUGAAGCAAGCUAAAAAGAAUAAAGACAAACAACCGGACUCAGAAGAUGUCGACAAAGAGAAGGCAAAUCAAGACCCGAACUUAACAGCUUUGGGCGGAGCUGUGAGCUCUAAACCCUCCGAGAGGGCUGAGGAAAGUCAGGCAAAAGCGGUAGUAUCUAAACAGAUGACUGGGCAAAAUAACUCUAAGUAAUUUAAUAUUGGUUCUUUAUUAUUAUUAUUUAUGCUAUUCUAAAUACUAAUUAAAAUUAUUUCAAACGAAA